UCAUUGGUCCAGAGGGGAGAUAGGUUCCUGUGAUUUUUCCUUCUUCUCUAUAGAAUAAAUGA
rnacentral:pre_miRNA from 10 species